GACAGGUGCUGCAUGGCUGUCGUCAGCUCGUGUUGUGAAAUGUUGGGUUAAGUCCCGCAACGAGCGCAACCCUUAUCCUUUGUUGCCAGCGGUUAGGCCGGGAACUCAAAGGAGACUGCCAGUGAUAAACUGGAGGAAGGUGGGGAUGACGUCAAGUCAUCAUGGCCCUUACGAGUAGGGCUACACACGUGCUACAAUGGCGCAUACAAAGAGAAGCGACCUCGCGAGAGCAAGCGGACCUCAUAAAGUGCGUCGUAGUCCGGAUUGGAGUCUGCAACUCGACUCCAUGAAGUCGGAAUCGCUAGUAAUCGUAGAUCAGAAUGCUACGGUGAAUACGUUCCCGGGUC
rnacentral:rRNA from 1 species